UUUCUCCCAAUUUGGAUCAUUUUUCAUUCUCUCCAUGGCUUCCACCAGACUAGGUAAACAUCUAUUUACCUGGAUUAUUACAAUGGCCUUCUGAUUGAUCUCCCUGUUUCCACCCUUGGUCACUUUAAGUCAAUUCUCAACUUUUUUUUUUGUGUGUGUGUGUGUGUAAUAAAGUUUUAUUAAAGUAUAAAGGAGAUAGAGAAAGCUUCUGACAUAGGCAUCAGAAGGGGGCAGAAAGAGUACCCCUAGAAGGGGGCAGAAAGAGUACCCCCAAUUCUCAACUCUUAUGGCACCAUUUAUACAGAGUCUUCACAAUUUCUUUAAAACAGCUAAUAGUAAUUUCAUAAAAAUAAAUACUAAUUUCUUAAGAACAUUGUAAUAGAAUGUCCUAGAAGUCUGAAACAUUUUAAAAACCUAAGCACUUUUUGGAGACUUCCCUGCAGUCCAUUGGUUAAGACUUCACCUUCCAAUGCAGGAGGUGCCGGUUUGAUCCCUGGUUGGGGAGAUAAGAUCUCCCAUGACUCAUGGCCAAAAAACCAAACCCUGAAACAGAAGCAAUGUUGUAACAAAUUCAAUAAGACUUAAAAAAAAAAAGGUCCACAUCAACAAAGUCUUAAAAAAAAAACUAAACAUUUUUUAUCUUUGAAAAAGUAAUGUAUAUGUGUUAAAAAGGGAAACAGUAAAAAACAUUAUUAAAAAUAUAAGGUGACUCUCUCUUCCACUCUGAAUCUCUAAAUACCCCUUCAGCGUAACUAUGAUUACUGAUUUCUUAUACUUUUAUCCAUAUAUGAUUUUGUCUCCCUGCAUACAUCCACAUGCGUACAUGUAAAAGCUCCCUAAGUCUGUCUCACCCAAUGAAUGAUUUAGGGGCUAUAUUGUUGAGAAAGGAAAAGGAGGACAGCAGGUUGAGAGGAGGAAGAAACAAAAGAGCAAGAGGAGAGCAGUAAGUCAGAAAGAGAAACACAAAUAUUGUAUCUUAAUACAUAUAUAUGGAAUCUAGAAGGAUGGUACUGAUGAAGCUAUGUGCAGGGCAGGAAUAGAGAUGCAGACAUAGAGAAGGAACUUGCUCAAGAAGGAAGAUAUACAUAUAGCUGAUUCAUGUUAUUGUACAGCAGAAACUAACACAACAUUGUAAAGCAAUUGUCCUCCAGUUAAAAAAAGAAAAGAGCAAGAAGAACAUUUUACAUGAUUCCUUAUUUUUCUGUUAGGGACCCUUUAGGAAAAAAAUUUUUGUGGUUAUCUAUAAGGCCUCUAACCUGGAGGAGGGCAUGGCAAUCCACUCCAGUACUCUUGCCUAGAGAAUCCCAUGCACAGAGGAGCCUGGCAGGCUUCAGUCCAGAGUCGCAUGGAGUCGGACACAACUGAAGCGACUAAGCAGCAGCAGCAUAAG
ensembl:lncRNA